UGAGGCAUUAAAAAAUGAGAAAGAAAAAUGGAUUGAAUCAGGAUGCACAAAGUCUAAUGACUUGUUAUGGCAACAUCCUGAUGGACACUGCGGCACUUCAGUCUAUCUUGCCUUAGCUGACUUUGUACCAAGGGACUCAUGAAGCGCUUCCCCAACCAUCAGCCCAACCCUGCCAUAAUCUGCAGCCUGGGGAUUGAGUUUUUGUUAAAGUCUUUCAGUGAAAAUCUUACCUAGAGCCCAGGUGGAAGGGGCAGUACCUUGUUCUUCCUACAACUCAUUUAGCUGUUCAAUGUGCUGGUCUACCAACUUGCAACAAUGUUUCCCACUGUAAGAAGACCUGCCUUGUAUCUACAGAAAUGAAGGAUGAUAUCCACCUGCUCCUGAUGACAUCACUCCUGAUGGUCCUGACUCCUCCUGCUCCAGCUGAGACAAAGGAAAACCUCUUUCUGAAAGUACUACAUCAAUAUGCAGCAAAUCUUAACAUCAGCAACUGCCAAGUCUGCACAUCUGUCCCUGAUUACUCUAGAGGAACCAUUCACAUGAUCCAUUUCCAGUGCUUCAAAUGGAUUUUGAACAAAGUUUGUUAGAGAAAAACAUGACUUGGCAUAAUGUUUCAUCUUUUUCGAAAAAAAAAAUUUUUCAGCCAGCAGUAUCCACUCCAGGAAGCACCUAUGCAAGACAAGGGACAGUUCAUGUAGGCUACAGAAAAUGCAAUGUGACGUGACAUGAACAUGUUUUAACUGAACUCAAACUAAAAUUCUAUGGAUGGGGACAGGGUAUGAGUAUGCUAACUAAUCAUUAUUUAAUCAUUAUUACAUUUGUGAAGACCAGGCCUAUCCCUGGUUCCCUACUAACAGGUCCGGGUGCUGUUAUGUAGGCUACAUUACCCCAGACAUCCAGCAUUUUUGGUCUUCACCAAUUG